CACAUUAGUGAUAAUAGUGUAUUAUGAACCAAGGAUUGUGACUUAUCCAAUUCAGUGCACCUUAGAUAUCUC
ensembl:snoRNA